rnacentral:rRNA from 1 species
ACGAACGCUGGCGGCGUGCCUAAUACAUGCAAGUCGAACGAGAGCAACCGGUGCUUGCACUGGUCAAUCUAGUGGCGAACGGGUGAGUAACACGUGGGUAACCUGCCCAUCAGAGGGGGAUAACAUCCGGAAACGGAUGCUAAAACCGCAUAGGUCUUCGAACCGCAUGGUUUGAAGAGGAAAAGAGGCGCAAGCUUCUGCUGAUGGAUGGACCCGCGGUGCAUUAGCUAGUUGGUGAGGUAACGGCUCACCAAGGCCGUGAUGCAUAGCCGACCUGAGAGGGUGAUUGGCCACAUUGGGACUGAGACACGGCCCAAACUCCUACGGGAGGCAGCAGUAGGGAAUCUUCCGCAAUGGACGCAAGUCUGACGGAGCAACGCCGCGUGAGUGAAGAAGGUUUUCGGAUCGUAAAACUCUGUUGUUAGAGAAGAACAAGUGCUAGAGUAACUGUUAGCGCCUUGACGGUAUCUAACCAGAAAGCCACGGCUAACUACGUG